AUGUAGUAAGAUUGACUGCUGUCGAUAUGUGCUCUAAAUGAGAAAAUGUUAUAUUUGUUUACCUGUCUGACAAUGUAUUACAGUGACAGUUUUUUUCUGGGCUGUACAUGAAUCUUCAAAUUUAGUGCAAGAAGACUUACAGACUAGACCUUUUUCCUGUUAUCGGAUAGAUCCAUAACUACCGCUCAGCAACCAGACAUGGAAAUGGCAUUUGAAUCUUUUGCGCUUCACUGAGCUAUGACAAGGAUAAUGACAGGAGCAGAAUUUGAUUAUGACACAAUCUUUCUCGAUGUCCAGGUACAAAUAACAACAACCACAAUAAAAAACAACAACAAAAUAAUGAAAAGUCUUUCACUCAAAACUCCAUCAAUAUUCACCAUCAAACACAGGAAUUAUUUUCCGCGGAACCACUUCCUUAAUGCGGUCAACACAGGGCAACUAAUUGUGAUCUUGUGCCUAUUUAAACCUAUUUUUCUCUUCAUCUUAAAACUAUUGUACGAGUUCAAUCUAAGAUGUGUGACAAAUUAAAUUAGAACGUUUCGCCUUUGUUGAACUAUGCAUUCAAAUUUGAUAGCUUUCAAUCUUACACAUGGUAGCGGCCCCAUCUGAGCAAAAAAGCAUCGCUUACUUUUCAGUUGAAAAAAAAACCCCGCAAAAUUCUGUAACUUUUUUGUUUGAUGAGAUCUUUAUCAGAAAUUAAAAGCAGCAUGUUUCCUACUUUAUAUGUCAAUCCAAACUAAAAGCUACUUAAAAUUUGAUUACAAUAUCACCGUACAAAUUAAUAAAAGAUAUUCAAAUCACAAAAAAGAAACACAUCAAAACACGUCGUCUGCUCAUACGAAAAACUAAAAUGUGUGAAUUAAGUAGCCUAGUAUGUGGCAAAUAUAAGAAUGAAUAGCUUUUGUACAUACAUUUGUCAUGUAGUUUUCAAUGCUCAUUCGUGUAAGGCUACCGUAGGUAAAACUGAGCCGAAAAGCUCUGAAAAGUCCAAUAUGUGAGCUUACUAAAAAGAUUAUUAGUCUUUCUGGAAUGAAUAUUUCACUCAAAUCUUGCAGUUGUACAACAUUCCGUGUACUCUGUACAUAAAACUUGCACAUCUGAAAAGAUUACGCAGUACAGAUUUUUAAAUUGUUUACCACAGAUAAACGCCUGGCAAAACAGUCCCUCUUUAUAUAAAGAAUGUUUUGAAUGUCCAUCACUUCCUGGUGAAUAUUCCAAAGAUUCAACAUGAGAAACUACAACUGGAUAUCCUAAUUUUUCCAGUGACUAGUGUGAAUUCUAGUGACCAUUCGUGUGACUGACUCAGCAACAAAGGCCUUCGAAAAACAACAUCUGAAAAAAUGAUUCAAGCUAGUCAUAACACCUUAAAUUAAAUACUUAAACAGUUUAAAUGAUUGCAUGUAUGUGCAAAUAAUGUCUCAAAACAAUCUGACUGCAAAGACAGUGUGAAAUGUUAGAAAGUGGUGACCCAUCACAGCAACAUUUCUGUAAACAUUUAUAUCUCAAUCUCCUUUUCCCAACAAUGCGAUAUAAAACAUAAAAACCAACUCUUACAUAUGUAAACUGUGCCAUAAUAUACAGUUUAAAUAAUACAAAAAGUCAGUCAAAAUGAAAUAUGUUCAUAUUCCUUGCCUUAUUGGCUUCUAGAUCUGAAGAAAUGCUUACUGUUACCAGGUAAAACUAGUUACAUUCUGAACUGCAUAUCCUUAGAGGGAAUACAGCUUAGUGCACCAACUAUAAUAAACAAAAUCCUGUCCAAUUUUAUGGUAAUUGGUUAGAAAUGUAAUUUUGCUUCCACACUUGCUUCGGAAAGUAUUCAUUAUAAAAAAACUUUUUUGGGGGGUCUAACGUCGCACCGAUACAAUUAUAGGUCAUAUGGCGACUUUCCAGCUUUGAUUUUGGAGGAAGACCCCAGGGGCCCCUCCGUGCAUUAUUUCAUUACGAGCGGGCACCUUGGUAGAACCACCGACACUCCGUAAGCCAGCUGGA